UACGUAGGGAGCAAGCGUUGUCCGGAAUCAUUGGGCGUAAAGCGCGCGUAGGCGGCCUCAUAAGUCCGUUGUGAAAGUCAAAGGCUCAACCUUUGAAUGUCAGUGGAUACUGCCGGGCUAGAGUCCGGAAGAGGCGAGUGGAACUCCUGGUGUAGCGGUGGAAUGCGUAGAGAUCGGGAAGAACAUCAGUGGCGAAGGCGGCCUGCUGGGCUGUUGCUGACGCUGAGGCGCGACAGCGUGGGGAGCAAACAGG
rnacentral:rRNA from 1 species